CACGUAGGGAGCAAGCGUUGUCCGGAUUUAUUGGGCGUAAAGAGCUCGUAGGUGGUUCGGUAAGUCAGGUGUGAAACCUCCAGGCUCAACCUGGAGACGCCACUUGAUACUGCUGUGACUGGAGUCCGGUAGGGGAGCGUGGAAUUCCUGGUGUAGCGGUGAAAUGCGCAGAUAUCAGGAGGAACACCGGUGGCGAAGGCGGGUCUCUGGGCCGUAACUGACGCUGAGGAGCGAAAGCAUGGGGAGCGAACAGG
rnacentral:rRNA from 1 species